rnacentral:rRNA from 1 species
UACGUAGGGGGCAAGCGUUAUCCGGAUUUACUGGGUGUAAAGGGAGCGCAGACGGCAGUGCAAGUCUGGAGUGAAAGCCCGGGGCCCAACCCCGGGACUGCUCUUGGAACUGCGCGGCUGGAGUGCAGGAGGGGCAGGCGGAAUUCCUGGUGUAGCGGUGAAAUGCGUAGAUAUCAGGAGGAACACCGGUGGCGAAGGCGGCCUGCUGGACUGCGACUGACGUUGAGGCCCGAAAGCGUGGGGAGCAAACAGG